rnacentral:misc_RNA from 1 species
GAAGGCAGAUGUUUAUAGCUUUGGCAUUGUAGUCAUGGAAGUAAUCUGUGGUAGGAAAAAUUUAGAUAGGUCACAGACUGAGGAAUUCAAGCAUUUACUUCCAAUUUUCAUGAAAAAAGCUGAGGAGGAUAUAUUGGAGGAUAUGGUUGACGGAAGUGAGGAUAUGCAAUUGCACAAGUCAGAAGCUGUGGAGAUGAUGAGGGUUGCAAUUUGGUGUCUGCAGAGUGAUUACACAAGGAGGCCUUCCAUGUCAGUUGUGGUUAAAGUCUUAGAAGGCACUGUGGAUGUGGAAGCUGACCUAGACUACGCCAUCCAUAAUCCAAUAGCAAUGGCAGCAAUAAGAAGAGAGGUAGAGUUGGGAACAACAACUCCAGUAUUGCCAUCUUUUCUAUCAGGUCCAAGGUGAAGAAUGAUGAUUUUGUAAGAAAUCAGGGUUUUUCUAUUUCUUAUUACUUUUUUUUCUUUACUGUUGUUGUGCUUUAUAUGUUCCUUUAAUCUCUGUACUGCUUAUAUUUUUCUGUCCAUUGAUUACAUUUGGACAGUAUGGCAUUUGGGUUCAUCACAUUUAUAACUUUUAAUAACACUAUAUCUGAUGCUAAAAUAGAUAUAGAAGAAGUGUUUUUAGUCAAAUUGAUGUCAGUAGAUAUCAUCUAAG